UACGGAGGAUGCGAGCGUUAUCCGGAUUUAUUGGGUUUAAAGGGUGCGUAGGCGGAAUAUCAAGUCAGCGGUAAAAAUUCGGGGCUCAACCCCGUCGUGCCGUUGAAACUGAUGUUCUUGAGUGGGCGAGAAGUAUGCGGAAUGCGUGGUGUAGCGGUGAAAUGCAUAGAUAUCACGCAGAACUCCGAUUGCGAAGGCAGCUCACUGGACUGCAACUGACACUGAGGCUCGAAAGUGUGGGUAUCAAACAGG
rnacentral:rRNA from 1 species